CAGGGAGACAACAAAAUGUUUAAUAUUAUUUUUGUCUCCUUUUGUCUCUCGCGAUCUCUCAUUCUUUUAUAUUUAUAAAAUUUUCAUUUCAUAUUUUUCUCUGUGACACCCCUCUUAUUUCCCGGGGCAUUAUAUCUCGUGGGUAUAGAGCACCCCUGAGAUAGGGGAGAGGCCUGGGUCUCAUCCCCGAUGGGCCCCAUCUCUCUGUGUUGGGUAUAUAUCUCAUGGGGUAGAGCCUGUGCUGCAAGCAGCGAUGUGUCCGCGUCUCGUCCGCUUACCUCUCCUGAGAUCCACCUCUCUCCCAAAUUAGUAAGGGAAUGUUUUGAGUUGUGAUAUCAUUCUGAAAAAUCUAGCUUCUCAUUUUAUAUUAAGAUGCUGGACUCACUGAAUUAAUUCACUGUGUUCACAGAACCUUGACAACUGCGUAUAUUAUAUUUAAGACAAUAUGCAUCUCUAUGAUGCAGAUAUAUUAUAGUGCGCAUGCAUUAUAACACUUCUAUUAUGCUGAUGCUUCACUUUGAAGAUAUUGUGCAG
rnacentral:misc_RNA from 1 species